rnacentral:lncRNA from 1 species
AUAUCUCCCUGCCUUACAAAGGCAUCUGUACUUGUGGUGGCACGGCCUUCCUCCUAAGUGCUGGCUGGGUUAAACUUGAAACUGAAACACUUGAAGGUUCAGGUCCCAUUUCUCCUUUUAUGUGUUUUAAGCAGGCAGAUGCCACGAUACCAACAUGCCUUUGCUGCUCUGCUCCCCGGAGUGUGUGGUGCUGCUGGAUUCCAAGUGCAUUAGAAAGCAUUUGUUGUUUUGCAGAGUUUGAGAGGAUGAUGUCUGGAGGGCUGUAUCUGACAGAAGGUCUUAAAAAGGGAUUUGCAAAAUCUAGAGUGUGAAGCAGAAGACAACAUAAUUUAAACACAGAAGGGAGAACUGAAGGGAUGGCAGAGCAUUGAGAAGUUCUAUUUACUGGAACUAUAAUUGUUGAAUUGACCAUGAAACAGCUAAUUUUCAGGAGGUUUUUCUCACGCUCACUAGGCUGAAGUUUCUCACCUACACAAGACUAAAGUUAUGCUUGUUUUAGUGAAAGUACAUUCAACAAAGUCCAGAAACUUCUAAAUCACCAGAAGAGUAAUAAUGAAACUUUGAGGUUCAGCAAAUCUGCAGUUGGUAGAAUGAUAAAAAAAUAUGACUGGUUUGGAGAAAAGCCUGUGAGGUUGAAGUAAGCAAGAAACAGAAUAUUUAUGACUAUUCCUCUAACAGUGGCAAGUGUCAGUCUGCAAAUAACUCCAAAUUCAGGAGACAGUAAGGAAGUAGAACAUGGAGUAGACUGAGUAUGGAGUAGGGUAUGGGGUAAAUAUUGAGUAUGGAGUAGGUUGAAGUUGAGAGAAAGGGCAAGGAUGGAUAUGAAUCAAGAACUGACUGUGGCAGGUGCUGGACACAGAACAAAACUACCCUACACAGACACUGCUAUUUAUUCAUUAAUCCUAUUUCUAAAAAAAAGGUGAGGUUCAGGUGCUGUGUGCCAGGACUAGAGAUGUCCUGCCUCUGGCAUUACCCUGGAGGUAAUUGUGCCCUGGAGGCUGGGAGCCCUGAGCCCUGGUGCUCUGGGCAGAAGUGUGUGCUUCAGGACUCUGUGCUUCUGCUUUCUCUUAAAACAGCUUCCAGAUACCUCAGUGGAGGCCUGUGACUCUUGUACUUCAGAGCAGGUGUGCUCCUUGCUCAGGUCUGUUUCUCUUGUGCUGGAGGACUGGUCUCUGUCUUUAGCCUAUCCCAGGACUGAGGUGGGAGGCAGGGUGAUGGAGGGCCAUGGAAAAAUGCAAUUGCAGGUCUAAAAAUAGGUUCCCUGAGAAUCACCUGCCACCUGUGUGAUUCCAGUCUAAAUCACUUCAGAGA